rnacentral:rRNA from 1 species
UACGUAGGGUGCAAGCGUUAAUCGGAAUUACUGGGCGUAAAGCGUGCGCAGGCGGUUUUGUAAGUCUGUCGUGAAAUCCCCGGGCUCAACCUGGGAAUUGCGAUGGAGACUGCAAGGCUAGAAUCUGGCAGAGGGGGGUAGAAUUCCACGUGUAGCAGUGAAAUGCGUAGAGAUGUGGAGGAACACCGAUGGCGAAGGCAGCCCCCUGGGUCAAGAUUGACGCUACAUGCACGAAAGGCGUGGGGAGCAAACAGG